UUCUGCAAUGGUGGGGGAUGCAGGUCGUCAUGGUUGGAGGUGAAGUGGUGAAAAUUGAAAUCGUUCAAUAUUUAUAAAAAAAAAUCCUCAAACUCUUGCGAGUUUACACCCGCCGGUUCGAAAGAGUUCAUUCGCUUAUUUUUACAUAUAUAUCGAUCGAUUCGAUCGAACGGACGAAAAAAAUGCUCGAUAUACUAUAAUCUCGCAUAGAUACGAUUCGCCUCUGUCGCUACAUGGUGCGAAAGUCCGAUGAAAUUACAAUAGACAAGGGUUGGUCGAAACCCCGUUUUCAUCUUGGCACCCUUACAGCGACGAAUAUAUCCACUCCGGAUUUCGUUACCGCGUAUAGCAUUGUUCCUCCUCGACUUCUAAAACUCUGACAACGAAACUGGGAGACGAAGUGAAAGACCGAAACAAAGGGGUGGAAACGACG
rnacentral:misc_RNA from 1 species